GGGGGUGUUCCGGAUUCGACUGGGGCUGUGGUGGCCUACGUUGCAGGUGGAGCGCCAUCUCCUGAUUGGCAAACAGUAUAACUGCCGAUAAUAACGCAGAUUACGCACUAGCAGCCUAAAUACUGCUACGGAUCACCUGGAUGCUGCUCUGAGUUCAGGAUGGUCUGAAAGAUCCCGGAGCUUACCAUGGAAUUUCGUCUGCAUUUUCCAUGGGAAAUUCAUGCAGACUAAGGGUUAAGAGGUGUGUUUCUUCCCCUCCUUAGCUCUGACAGACAAAAAGAGACUAAACCUGUAGUAGCGUAGUCUAUGCACCUUAGGACGCGGGUUCAACUCCCGCCACCUCCAAAA
rnacentral:tmRNA from 1 species